AUGUUCCACUCAAAUGGAUGUACUGUGUACUAUUUGUCUCCCAUGAUCAAUUCUUGCCGUUAUGGCAGCUGGCAAGAUGAAAGUGACGUGUGUACUACUACAACGGUCUACUUCCUCAACGCCUAUAUAAAGGAUCAACUGUUUCAUUUGAAAAUUGCAAGACUUGGAUACAAUAAGAGUAACGCUUCCAAAAUAAAAUCAAAAGAAAAAGAAAAGAAAAAUAAAAUAAAAAUAAAAAGCAAAGAAAAGAAAAAUAAAAUAAAAAUAAAAAGCAAAGAAAAGAAAAGAUCAAAACACAAGAGUUUUUGCUCGUUACUGUGUUAA